UACGGAGGGUGCAAGCGUUAUCCGGAUUCACUGGGUUUAAAGGGUGCGUAGGUGGGCAGGUAAGUCAGUGGUGAAAUCUCCGGGCUUAACCCGGAAACUGCCAUUGAUACUAUUUGUCUUGAAUACUGUGGAGGUCAGCGGAAUAUGUCAUGUAGCGGUGAAAUGCUUAGAUAUGACAUAGAACACCAAUUGCGAAGGCAGCUUACUAACGGAUUGAUUGACACUGAGGCACGAAAGCGUGGGGAUCAAACAGG
rnacentral:rRNA from 1 species